GGGGUUUGCUACGCGCCUGCUCCCCGGCCGCCUUGGCGGCCGCGCGGAUUCUAUUAGAGUUUGAUCCUGGCUCACGAUGAUUACAGGCGGCGUGCUUACACAUGCAAGUCGAACGGGGCGCCUGGGAGGAAUCCCUUCGGGGAGGAGACCCCGCGGCCUAGUGGCGGACGGGUGAGUAACGCGUGGGCAACCUGCCCCAUACCGGGGGAUAACAGCCGGAAACGGCUGCUAACACCGCAUAAGCGCUGGGGGCCGCAUGGCACCCGGCGGAAAACUCCGGUGGUAUGGGAUGGGCCCGCGUCUGAUUAGGCAGUUGGCGGGGCAGCGGCCCACCAAACCGACGAUCAGUAGCCGGCCUGAGAGGGCGGCCGGCCACAUUGGGACUGAGACACGGCCCAGACUCCUGCGGGAGGCAGCAGUGGGGAAUAUUGCACAAUGGGGGGAACCCUGAUGCAGCGACGCCGCGUGGGCGAGGAAGUAUUUCGGUAUGUAAAGCCCUAUCGGCAGGGAAGAAGAAAUGACGGUACCUGAAUAAGAAGCACCGGCUAAAUACGUGCCAGCAGCCGCGGUAAUACGUAUGGUGCAAGCGUUAUCCGGAUUUACUGGGCGUAAAGGGAGCGCAGGCGGCGCGCCAAGUCUGAUGUGAAACCCCGGGGCUCAACCCCGGGCAUGCAUUGGAAACUGGCGGGCUGGAGUGCCG
rnacentral:rRNA from 1 species